rnacentral:lncRNA from 1 species
GCAUAGGGAGAGACAUACCAUCAAUCAAUUUAGUGGGUGUGUGGGAUCCAUGUACUAUGAUACUCCACAUAUCAUAAUCAAGUGCUUGAAUAAAAAUUUUCAUCCGAGUUUUUCAAUAUGUGUAGUUUGACCCAUUGAAAAGUGGAGAUCGGUUUGUGAAUUGCCCCUCGGCUAGGGAUGUGCCAAAUUAGGUUGCCAUAGAUCUUUGGCUCUUGAUGAUUAAAUCAAGCAAGGACUAGAGCACCGUGCUCUGAUAUCACUUGUUGCCUAGAUAUGGAGUCCAAGAGGAGGGGUAAAUUUGAUCUUUUUAAAAUUUUUAAGAUUAGUGCACUUAAGUAAUGUGCUAAAGUAUUGAGUGGAGAGAAUUGAUUUGCAAUGAAAAUGAAAUCAAACACAAAUGAUAGGUAAGUAAGUAUAAAGUACAAAGAACAAGUAAAGAGAUGCAAGCACAACAAACAUAAAAAAUUUAUAGUUAUUCGGUGCCAAUCUUGCACUUACAUCCACUCUCCAAGUCUCUACUUAAAAAUUCAAUCCACUAAAAGGAUUUCAAGAAUACAAUAUGUC